CCCGCUGAACUUAAGCAUAUCAAUAAGCGGAGGAAAAGAAACUAACAAGGAUUCCCCUAGUAACUGCGAGUGAAGCGGGAAAAGCUCAAAUUUAAAAUCUGGCGGUCUCGCGGCCGUCCGAGUUGUAAUCUGGAGAAGCGUUUAUCCGCGUCGGACCGUGUACAAGUCUUCUGGAAGGGAGCGUCAUAGAGGGUGAGAAUCCCGUCUUUGACACGGACAACCGAUGCUUUUGUGAUGCGCUCUCGAAGAGUCGAGUUGUUUGGGAAUGCAGCUCAAAAUGGGUGGUAAAUUCCAUCUAAAGCUAAAUAUUGGCGAGAGACCGAUAGCGAACAAGUACCGUGAGGGAAAGAUGAAAAGCACUUUGGAAAGAGAGUUAAACAGUACGUGAAAUUGUUGAAAGGGAAACGCUUGUAGUCAGUCGCGUCUUCUGGAACUCAGCCUUGCUUCUGCUUGGUGCACUUUCCAGUUUGACGGGUCAGCAUCGGUUUCGGUGGGGCAGACAAAGGCAGAGGGAAGGUGGCCGCUCCGGUGGUGUUAUAGCCCUCUGUUGUGCGUGUCCCCUGGGACCGAGGAAUCCGGCGCUCGUCGCCUGGGAUGCUGGCGUAAUGGCUUUAAGCGACCCGUCUUGAAACACGG
rnacentral:rRNA from 1 species